rnacentral:rRNA from 1 species
UUGAACGCUGGCGGCAUGCUUUACACAUGCAAGUCGAACGGCAGCACGGGGGCAACCCUGGUGGCGAGUGGCGAACGGGUGAGUAAUGCAUCGGAACGUACCCAGUCGUGGGGGAUAACGCAGCGAAAGUUGUGCUAAUACCGCAUACGACCUGAGGGUGAAAGCGGGGGACCGUAAGGCCUCGCGCGAUUGGAGCGGCCGAUGUCUGAUUAGCUAGUUGGUGGGGUAAAGGCCCACCAAGGCGACGAUCAGUAGCGGGUCUGAGAGGAUGAUCCGCCACACUGGGACUGAGACACGGCCCAGACUCCUACGGGAGGCAGCAGUGGGGAAUUUUGGACAAUGGGCGCAAGCCUGAUCCAGCAAUGCCGCGUGCAGGAUGAAGGCCUUCGGGUUGUAAACUGCUUUUGUACGGAACGAAACGGUUCUCUUUAAUAAAGAGGGCUAAUGACGGUACCGUAAGAAUAAGCACCGGCUAACUACGU